rnacentral:rRNA from 1 species
AACGAACGCUGCGGCAUGCCUUACACCUGCAAGUCGAACGAGACCUUCGGGUCUAGUGUCGCACGGGUGCGUAACGCGUGGGAACCUGCCCUUAGGUUCGGAAUAACUCCCCUAAAGGGGUGCUAAUACCGGAUAAUGUCUUUGCACCAAAGAUUUAUCGCCUUGGGAUGGGGCCGCGUUGGAUUAGCUCGUUGGUAGGGUAAAACCCUACCAAGGCGCGGGUGCAUAGCUGGGCGGGGUGGAGGACCAGUCACGCUGGGGAUGAGGCCCAGCCCAGACUCGUACGGGAGGGAGGAGAAGGGAGUAUUAGAGGAGGGGCGAAGGCGUGAUAACGCAGUGCCGGGGGAGAGGGGAAGGGGGUAGGGAUGUAAAGCUGUUUUAGACGGGAUGAUAAUGACGGUACCGGGAGAAUAAGCACCGGCUAACUCCGUG